GACCUGACUCGUCAUGCUGACCAAGCACACAACCCAUUGACCUUUCUAACACAGUCAAGUACAUGAUCAACGGUCUUUUCCUCUCGGCCUGUAGACUGGCCCCGAUCUUGAUCUCUUUCUUGUCGUCUUCGGUACCAAUGUUGAUGGUCUCAACCACCUCCUGAUAAGGUGUGAUAGCUCGGUCCUCCUGUUUCAACAACCUGGCUAACUCCUCAGGCAAUUCACAAUCUUCCUCAACCC
rnacentral:lncRNA from 1 species